ensembl:snRNA U4 U4 spliceosomal RNA
AGCUUUGCGCAGUGGCAGUAUUGUAGCCAAUGAGGUUUAUCGGAGGCGCGAUCAUUGCUAAUUGAAAACUUUUCCCAAUACCCCACCAUGACAACUUGAAAUAUAGUCGGGAUUCUGCAAUC